rnacentral:tRNA from 1 species
AUAUGUGGCCGAGUGGUCUAAGGCGUUGGACUUAAGAUCCAUUGUAUAUAUGUACGCGCAAGUUUGAACCCUUUCAU